GAAGAGUGUUCAAGUCUCCGCGUGGCUGCGGGCGGGUUUGCGCGUCAGGUGCUUAGUGUGUGUGCCGUCGCGUCUUGCGUGGCCGUUGCGGUGUGUGUCGUGUGGUUCGGACCUGUCGUUGGGUCUGACUGGGACCGUGCCACUCCGGGAACACGCUCGCGUGUGACCGUCAAAGUGUCUCAUUCGUUACAUCAUCGUUUCCGCGCGGAGCGGCCACUUUACCAGAAGUUUCGGAAGGAGAAAAACUCCCGAAUUUAUCCGUGGCUUUCCCUUGGAAGACACACUAUACACCGCAGAGCAGAGAGGAGGAACCAAGGCAGAGCACUGAUUUGCUAAGUUGACACAAACAACAGUUUUGGGGAAAUGAAGUGACUGGAAUUCAUGGGGGCAGAGUGUGGAAGAGGAGUGGAGUUGGUAUUUCCACCAAACAAGACCUACGUACCUGUGGGCAAGGCCAUGCUACCUCCGCCCUCUGAAUUGUGGAUGAGCCAAUAUGGUGAAACCUUGGAGAAUGCAUAUUCGGAGACAGACAUUUGCUUCAUGAUACCGCAGAGGUCACAAGCCCUCAUGGAAACAGAACCAAAGACAGAGAGUCUGGGAUCUGGAAGAGAUAGGGUGUGAGGGUUUGCAGAGAAGGUCACUGGGCCAUUCCAGACAUAUCCAAGAAAUGACCACAGAGAAUAGAAUUAACAUCAGGACCUUUGGACAGGCCUGUAGAGUGGGUGGGUUGGCUGGACCUCCUGUGGCUGUGAGCAUUAGACAGAGAGAUGACCUACCUGGGAACACAUUUGAGCUGGGCCACAAAGCCCUAACGUGCUGAAGGCAAGGAGUCCCAGGUCCCCAAGUACAGGCGGGUAGAAUGGCCAGCUGGUGCGGCCUGACUGGACUUAGAUCUCAGGCAGACAAAGGGGGCCGCCUUCUCUACUUGUCCCGACUUGUGGGAUCAGGACUACAUUUCCUAUAAGUGACUGUGGCUCCAGGCCCACCAUCUACCCCUCCCCCUGGAUGUGCACGUCAGGCCUGAUCUAGGAAUAGAAUGGUACUAGAGGGGCAUGGGAGAAGGGAUUGGAUUCUGUAUAUAUGUUAAAGGUGGAGCUAACGGGAUUCACAGAUUUACUGGGUGGAGUAGCAAGAGACUGGGAGUAGUGAAGGAUAACUCCAGGGAAUCCUGAGACAAGUAACUGGAAGAACAAACAUCACCAACCGAGAGAGGAAAACACGCACGGAGAGGAGCACAUCUUUGGGGGUGAGAUUGGGUGUUUGGUUUCAAAUGCAAUAGUUUGACGUGUUUGUUAGACAUACAAGUGGCAACGUGGAGGAUCAUUUUAGGGGCAGAGUCUGGGCUAGAAUCUUAAGUUAGGAAAUACUUUUAUUGUGUAGCUAAUUUAUAUUGUGAUGUACUGAGGCAAAUCAAUGUUUUUCAUUUAUCCUACCUUUUUUUUUUGCUCAAAAGUUGUUUUCCUACCCUAAAUUAUGAAUGUUCGUCUUUAUUUUUCUGUAGAACUCUAUGAGGAUAUUAAAAAAUAUCCUGUAAUUUGUUAUACCAUAGAGUGUGAUGAAUCAAUGCUAUCUGUAAUACUUGUACUUUGAAGAUUUAUUAAAGUUUCCCUCAUCUAUAAAUGAUUGAUUGUAAAUAUUACAUGGUUAUUUUAAAAGAAUGACUGGGGCGCCUGGGUGGUUCAGCUGGUUAAGCGUCCGACUUUGGCUCAGGUCAUGAUCUCACUGUUCGUGGGUUCGAGCCCCACAUCCAGCUCUGUGCUGACAGCUCGGAGCCUGGAGCCUGCUUCAGAGUCUGUGUCUUCCUCUCUUUCUCUGCCCCACCUACCCCCCCCCCCCGUCUCAAAAAUAAACAUUUACAAAAAAUUUUUUAAAAUAAAAGAAUGACUAUUUUUUUUUCCCUAUACAUAGUAGUUCCAUUUCAUAUCUCUUUGUUUAAUUUUAAUAGUACUCUGAUGUGUUGGGUCAUUUGGAUCUAUUUUUUAUUCCUUGAUGUGGUCUCAUAAUUUUCAUUUCUUUGAUGUUUGCAUUAGAUACCUACUGCUGCAUAACAUAUUACCUUAGAACUUAAUGGCUUAAACAAUAGUCAGCACUUACCAUCUCUCACAGUGUCUGUGAGUCAGGGUUUCAGGAGCAGUUUAGCUGCGUGUAGUCAAGAUGUCAUUUGAAGGCUUAAAUGGGGCCAGAAUCGGGGCGCCUGGGUGCUCCAUUCACAUGGCUGGCAAAUUGGUGCUGGCUUUUGACAAUAGGCCCUGUUCCAUUCCAUGUAGGCCUCUCCAUAUGGCUGAUU